UUUUGAAGAGAUUUUUGCAUACAUUUAAAACCACUCCUAUACAGGUAGAGGUGUACAGGUACGCAGAACGUUCAAAAUGGUGUUGUGAUGAUAGUUCCCAUACAGUGGCGUAUUUUGGGGGGGUGUCCUCCAUGUCUGGACACCCACCGACUUAAAAAAUAAAGAUACAUAAUAUAUUGGUAUUACAUUUUUUUUAUAAUAUACUAUAAAAUAAAUGGUAUUUUAAAUAAAUGACAAAAAUGAAGUUAAUUUGAUAUGAUUCGACGACACGUUACGAGAUUUAUCUAAAUUUUAUCAGGGAUAUCUAGAAAUUAUUUGAAUUUCAUUGGGUCAUAAAGAUAACAAAAAUACCCGCAGGAAAAAUAUAAUAACAACGGAAAUAUUCUGAACUUGUAGCUUAUUUUGAAAUCUAUUUUAUAUAGUUUAUCAGUUUAGAGAAUUAUACAUUUGAAUAAUACUAUUAUUUGAUAUUAAUUUUUUCGUCGACCGUCGAGCAUACAGCUAUAACGUGCCAUAAAUUUUACAGAUAUCCGGCAGUCACUACGACGAUGGCAGUUAGAGUAAAAAUGCCGCACUGCCGCCCGAGUGUUUCAAUCAUAUUAUGUAAUAUUAUGACUGGGUGUAGCUGAGGGAGCCAAGCUUGCGAUAAUUAAGGAAAAAAGUGUUGUAAAAUUAUCAAAAAUGGCACAGCAAAAUCAAGGAUCAAUUACUUCAUUUUUUAAGUUAACACCUACUACCUCAGAAUUUAAUUGAACUCAUAACAACAAUACUCUUACGAAUAAACGAGCAUCUUCGCCAGUUAACUCGAUUGACUCCGCUAAAAUUUGUCGCACUUUAAGUUUAGAUACAAAAGACUCAAAUAAUAUUUCUUUUACUGAGGACACAAUCUAUAGUAAUAAUUAUGAUAUUGAAUUUUAUAUU